AUCUUGCUUUGAGAAGGUAAGUAUCGUACUUAGGAAUCUUUCUUGCCUGAUCAUGACUGUGUCUGUGAAACACCGUCUUAAAACCAUCAACCUUAACAAGUGGUGUGACCAAUACACCUUCCUCUUCAUUGAAAUCUUCAAGCACUUCCACCAUAUCAUACUUGUCCAAAAAAUCAUGUUUCGAAAAAAUGCAUGAAGAAGGUACUAUUUCUACCGAUGAUGAGUAGAGGCCAUGGUCUGUGUAUUGGCAAGUUGCAGGUUAUACAAAGAGAUAGAAAAUGAAAUCGUAUAAUAUAACAUUUGCGACUGUAAAGUUAUGGGAGCAGGAUUUUAUGAAAAGGCAGGAACCUGCAGUUAGGAAACUUAAGGAACCUAUCUUGGAUGACAUUGCAUCUGCAUUGAUUUGGCACCAUGGGCUGAAUUUUACGACGAAAGAUAAUUCUCUUAUCUGCAGCUUUUAUGUAAACAGUAAUUGUCUAUAUUAGAACUCUUUCGAGAAGGAAUAUGAAGGGUGAAAUCCCACCUGAGCUUAGCAACAUGGGGGCAUGAACAAGGAUGUGGUUAGAUGACAAGCUGCUUAUUGGACCAUUACUUGACAUGAGUAAACUUAUAGCAUAUAUGAUAUAUUUGCCCAAAGUGGAGGGUGAUGACCGUGCACAAGCACAAGCACGUGCUUUGGCAACUCUGUACUCACAUCCAGUUGUAGGUGUUUGACUGCUGUCACUUUUGCUGUACCACUAUUCAUUUUUCUAAUUCAGGACAAUUCAUAAUUAACAAUCACUGCAUGAGAGACAGAUAAGCAUAACAUUUUUUAAGUGGUCAGCCGCAUCAAUACUUGUAAAGUAUGACUAUAAUGUAAGCAUAAUAUAUAUAAAGUGGCUCUAAACAAAAUGUUCAAGGAAGAAGGAUUAAAACUAUAAGCUUAAUACGUAGUUUGUACUCAGUUUCUACCAAUCAGGUAAAUAUACUAGUUUUACUUAAUCAAUAUACUAGAGGCCAUGGUCUGUGGAUUGGCAAGUUGCAGGGUUAGUAACAAUAUUAUUGUGGUUAAUUUUUACCUUCACACUUUUGGUUCCUAAUUAAUAAAUUUCAUGACAGUAAAGAAUUAAUUAAUUGUGUGUGUUUUGUAGUUAUACAAAGAGAUAGAAAAUGAAAUCGUAUAAUAUAACAUUUGCGACUGUAAAGGAUUUUAUGAAAAGGCAGGAACCUGCAGUUAGGAAACUUAAGGAACCUAUCUUGGAUGACAUUGCAUCUGCAUUGAUUUUGGUUCAUAAUUGUUCCAUUUCUAACCAUCAAAGAUUACAAUCUAAAUUUUUUGAUAGUCAUUAUGCACUCAAUCAAUGCAGUUUUCCUUAUAGGUGAUACAGCUUUAAAUUGUGUGAGAUUCCCUUGGUUCAGAAUAGGAUACUUUUGCCUAUGGACAGUCACAUAUGUGAUUCUCCAGUGGAUUUUUCAUGCUUGCAUUAAUCUCUGGUAUAAAGUCUUUGACUGACACUAUUGAGUUUGGCUUGAACUACUAUGAAGACAUCAUUGUCUAAUGUACUUUGCGGUGGCAUUAUUGCAGAUUCCAUGCUAUGGAAUUUUCGCUUUGUUAAUGAAGCUGAAACAUUAUGUCUUGUCAACACGGUAUCCAGACUCGUAUCAAUGUGUUAGAUGAAUUCAGCUUAGUACUAAACUACCUUUGAUUCAGCUGUGUACUAAACUAUACAAAUUUAAUUUAUGUUAAAAUUGUUUUGUUCCCCCUUGCACAGAAUUCAAUGCAGCUGAAUCUGACACCAGGAUCUAACAAAAGUUGCAUUACCAUCUUGGGAGAUACAGAGGUGAUGAAGAGUAUCUAUAUGUUGAUGGCAUUGGCAUAAAAACUGGAGAUUUCUUUCAGUUCUACUAUUCAGAUCCUAAUACUGCAUUGGCUUCAUUAACCAAGGUCCAUGAUGCCCUCAAGAAUAUUAAACUGGAAAGAAAUUCCAAGGAUUUCAAGGGUGAUGGAGACAGCGCCACCAAUGUUUUUGGGGGUCUUAUUUUUGCUUGUUACGGCCGUGGUGAAUCCUUCUUUGGACGUAAUAAUGUUGAUAGCUCCCCUUUCUUGGAAAAUUUUCCAGGAGUGCCAGUAUCUGGAAUAUUUUGUGGUGGAGAAAUGGUGCGUCCCUGUACCACUGUGAUUGGUCAAUGUCAAGGAGCAAGUCCGAAAUUAGUUGCUGCCUACAUGUUUAGCAUGAACAAUAAAAGCAUGCUUAUGAUUUGAAUACUGUUUGUACAAGGUAGAUGAGGCUGAAAGUUAAAGGAAUCUGUAAAUUGACUUGCAAAGUUUUCAAGUAGUUUUAUUACCAUAGUCAUGUUGAUUUUACAAUGUAUUAAUGCAUGACUACAUCAGUGUAAAAGACUUGAUAAUGUAUAAAUAUAAAAUGACUUGAUAAUGUAUAAAUAUAAAAUCCAUUUAGUUUUUCUUGUA